rnacentral:rRNA from 1 species
GUGGGGAAUUUUGGACAAUGGGCGCAAGCCUGAUCCAGCAAUGCCGCGUGCAGGAAGAAGGCCUUCGGGUUGUAAACUGCUUUUGUACGGAACGAAACGGUCCUGGUUAAUACCCGGGGCUAAUGACGGUACCGUAAGAAUAAGCACCGGCUAACUACGUGCCAGCAGCCGCGGUAAUACGUAGGGUGCAAGCGUUAAUCGGAAUUACUGGGCGUAAAGCGUGCGCAGGCGGUGCUGUAAGACAGGCGUGAAAUCCCCGGGCUUAACCUGGGAAGUGGGCUUGUGACUGCAGUGCUGGAGUGCGGCAGAGGGGGAUGGAAUUCCGCGUGUAGCAGUGAAAUGCGUAGAUAUGCGGAGGAACACCGAUGGCGAAGGCAAUCCCCUGGGCCUGCACUGACGCUCAUGCACGAAAGCGUGGGGAGCAAACAGGAUUAGAUACCCCAGUAGUCC